UAACCUACCUAUAAGACUGGAAUAACUCCGGGAAACCGGGGCUAAUGCCGGAUAAUAUUUAGAACCGCAUGGUUCUAAAGUGAAAGAUGGUUUUACUAUCACUUAUAGAUGGACCCGCGCCGUAUUAGCUAGUUGGUGGGGUAAUGGCUUACCAAGGCAACGAUACGUAGCCGACCUGAGAGGGUGAUCGGCCACACUGGAACUGAGACACGGUCCAGACUCCUACGGGAGGCAGCAGUAGGGAAUCUUCCGCAAUGGGCGAAAGCCUGACGGAGCAACGCCGCGUGAGUGAUGAAGGUCUUCGGAUCGUAAAACUCUGUUAUUAGGGAAGAACAAAUGUGUAAGUAACUGUGCACGUCUUGACGGUACCUAAUCAGAAAGCCACGGCUAACUACGUGCCAGCAGCCGCGGUAAUACGUAGGUGGCAAGCGUUAUCCGGAAUUAUUGGGCGUAAAGCGCGCGUAGGCGGUUUCUUAAGUCUGAUGUGAAAGCCCACGGCUCAACCGUGGAGGGUCAUUGGAAACUGGGAAACUUGAGUGCAGAAGAGGAAAGUGGAAUUCCAUGUGUAGCGGUGAAAUGCGCAGAGAUAUGGAGGAACACCAGUGGCGAAGGCGACUUUCUGGUCUGUAACUGACGCUGAUGUGCGAAAGCGUGGGGAUCAAACAGGAUUAGAUACCCUGGUAGUCCACGCCGUAAACGAUGAGUGCUAAGUGUUAGGGGGGUUUCCGCCCCUUAGUGCUGCAGCUAACGCAUUAAGCACUCCGCCUGGGGAGUACGACCGCAAGGUUGAAACUCAAAGGAAUUGACGGGGACCCGCACAAGCGGUGGAGCAUGUGGUUUAAUUCGAAGCAACGCGAAGAACCUUACCAAAUCUUGACAUCCUUUGACAACUCUAGAGAUAGAGUCUUCCCCUUCGGGGGACAAAGUGACAGGUGGUGCAUGGUUGUCGUCAGCUCGUGUCGUGAGAUGUUGGGUUAAGUCCCGCAACGAGCGCAACCCUUAAGCUUAGUUGCCAGCAUUAAGUUGGGCACUCUAAGUUGACUGCCGGUGACAAACCGGAGGAAGGUGGGGAUGACGUCAAAUCAUCAUGCCCCUUAUGAUUUGGGCUACACACGUGCUACAAUGGACAAUACAAAGGGCAGCUAAACCGCGAGGUCAUGCAAAUCCCAUAAAGUUGUUCUCAGUUCGGAUUGUAGUCUGCAACUCGACUACAUGAAGCUGGAAUCGCUAGUAAUCGUAGAUCAGCAUGCUACGGUGAAUACGUUC
rnacentral:rRNA from 1 species